rnacentral:lncRNA from 1 species
UUUCCUUCUCUUGAUAGAAAUACCUCCGGUAAUUAUUAUACUAUAAGUAGGUAUAUUUUACCAAUGCCAUGUUGAAAAGUGCUAUACACACUAGUUGUGGCAUUGCAAAAUACAAACAACAUUAACACACAGCUUGAAAGGGUUAACUGGUUUAAAGCUUAGCCUCUAAUAUCAUGCACUUCCAGAUGGGGGGAAAAACUUCAUUAGGAUAAUUUUUACAAUCAGUGAAUCCUUCUCAGGAGCCCUAAACUAAGAUAAAGGAAAACUAAAGCAUUAGUAGUUAGUAUUCCUAACUCCUUAGUAUUCCUGUCCCUAGUUAUGGAGGUCUUGUCCCCCCUUUAUCCAAUGAUUAAUAAAAUAAAGGUUUUUACUUAACUUUUUCCCUCACCAAAGCUCACUUGGGCUCACCUCUACUCCUUUCGUGAAUUCAUGGAGGAUGUAUGACCUCUUUUAGGAUGGUUUAAUACAAUGUUCUUCAUAAAGGAGCAUUAGGGACCUGAUGCCCGUCCAAGGCGGGAGCCACACGUGCAUCAAAAUUUCUCUAUAGUAAAACAUUCUUCCAAUAAAUUCCUAUGGGGGCUUAUGCAUCAAGUGACAGAGUUUUACUCUGUCAUUGCCGCAGCGGUACCUCUAAUGGCCAUCAUUAAGACAGACACUAGAGGGGGACCUAACUCUGUAAUGUAAAAAUGUCAGUGCCUAAAAGAAAAAAACUGCAAUAUUUUACAUUGCAGGUUUAAAAUUGAAGGACCACUGCACCUAGGUCUCUUUAUUGAUAUUAGUUUGCCUCGGUGACUUUAGUGGUCCUUUAACAGAGUGUAAACUAGAGUGUGUAAUAGGGGAAAAAGGCACAGUGUGUGGAUUGGAUUGGCGCCCAGUUUUAUCUCUUUAAAUAAAACUGCAUUAUGAUAGCACAAAGCUCUGGAAUUAAAUGCACCAAGGAAAUGUAGGCACUUAGAAGAUGAAAAAAAAGAAUACAAAAGAAAAGACAGGCACUAUACAGACAGUCAUGGUUACCCUCCCAUGUAGGCUUCAGCUAAUGUUGCUCUCAGUGGCUCAAUGUGUACUUAGUAUUUUGACUUUAUAAAUAUUAUCAUUCUCAAGCAAGUAUGAGAUCAUGUACCUAUCAGUAUCUGACCAGGCUGACUUUACAUCCUACGAGCCACAUAGUAAAAAUCUUAAAAGCAGCUUAAGUGAGCUUCACACACAUUUUGCCACCUUCUGGUGUUUUCUCGGUUCUCUCUCUUUUUCUGUUGAGUUUGCAAUAUUUAUAAAGCUUACAUGUAAUAAUUUUAUACAGACGGCUGCUUAUCAUUUUUUCUGAAAAAUUGUCACUUUCAAUAUAGUUCUAUUGUAUAAGCAUAUUUUUGUCCAUUAUACAGAACAUUUUACACUCACAAGCCUUGUGUAAAUUAAUAUUACGGUAAUUAAUAUUGUACCACGGAGCCGUUUAUCAUAUCUGUUAAAAAAAAUAUAUCACUUUCACUGAACUUCUGUUUCACUAUUGUUAUAUACUUCUCCCAAUAAAGAGUAUUUGUGUGUUUUUGCAAAUCUGAAUUUUUUUA